UACGUAGGGGGCAAGCGUUGUCCGGAUUUAUUGGGCGUAAAGAGCGUGUAGGCGGCCAGACAGGUCCGUUGUGAAAACUCGAGGCUCAACCUCGAGACGCCGAUGGAAACCGUCUGGCUAGAGUCCGGAAGAGGAGAGUGGAAUUCCUGGUGUAGCGGUGAAAUGCGCAGAUAUCAGGAAGAACACCCGUGGCUAAGGCGGCUCUCUAGUACGGUACUGACGCUGAGACACGAAAGCGUGGGGAGCGAACAGG
rnacentral:rRNA from 1 species